rnacentral:sRNA from 1 species
AUCAGAAGACUGGCUUCUCCAUGAUGGUUCAUGGACUAAGGCAAAGAUGAGCAGAGCCAUGGCCCUCUUCUUUGUUCUCUGCUGGAUCCAAGAGUCGGGGUCUCCCUAUGUUUCCCAGGCUGGCCUCGAACUCCUGACCUCAAGUGAUCCUCCCACCUCAGCCUCCCAGAGUGCUGGGAUUAAAGACGUGAGCCACGGCACCUGGCCUGAAUUUUCCUCAAAUUCAAAAAAUGCUGAUGAAGGUUUGGCUAAAAUCUUUGGUGAGUUACCCCACUCCCUGUGGAACCUCAGGCUGGAUUUGAAGAGUUGCGUGCAUGGUCCUCAUUGUCUCCCAGGUAACCUGUUCCCGCUGCUGUGAAGGGAAGGCAGGUGCUCUUCCUUGAGGCUAGAAUCUGUCUACGUGUCACAGUCUCAGGAAAUUAAGCAAAACAGAUGAUAAACACCUCAAAAGGACCCUACUGAGCAUGAGUGGAGCAGACCAGGGCCAUAUGGGACUGCGGCGUCAGAUGCCACCUCACACUAGCUGUGACACACCUGCCUCGCCAGUUU